rnacentral:rRNA from 1 species
UGGUGGAGUGAUUUGUCUGGUUAAUUCCGAUAACGAACGAGACUCUGUCCUGCUAAAUAGUUUCCGUAUUUUUUGUGCGGAAAAUUCUUCUUAGAGGGACUGGCGGCGUCUAGCCGCACGAGAUUGAGCAAUAACA